rnacentral:lncRNA from 1 species
UGGAUGUUGAAUUAUCGAAUUAUAUUAAAAUAUCAUAAUAAAAAAUUUAUCAAUAUCUUAAUGAUUGAAUCUAUAGCCUAACAUUACAAAAUUUCAUGACAUGUUUACUUGAAAGGAUAUAACUCUAAUUUUAAAUUGACGAGGAAGAAGAAAUUGAUCUUGAAUUCUUGAAUCUCUUCAAUUGUUUUUUUAUUAUUCUCCAUCAUAACUUCUUGUUAUCUCUCCAAAAAUCAAGGUUGAAGCAUCAAUUUCUUGAAAACUUGUAAUUAUCCUUCAUUCUCACAAGAACAAAGAAUUGGCCUCUCAUUUAUGAUGUUAAUUGAUGAAUUUGGGUUAUGAGAGGUGUCGUUUUAUAAUGAAGUUGUUUACUAUUUAUAAGGCUCGAAAUUAGAUGAAAAUUGCAUCAAAAUUUCAUUUGGAGAAUAAUUCAUGCAAAA